UACAGAGGUCUCAAGCGUUGUUCGGAUUCAUUGGGCGUAAAGGGUGCGUAGGCGGCGCGGUAAGUCGGGUGUGAAAUCUCGGGGCUUAACUCCGAAACUGCAUUUGAUACUGUGGUGCUUGAGGACUGGAGAGGAGACCGGAAUUCACGGUGUAGCAGUGAAAUGCGUAGAGAUCGUGAGGAAGACCAGUGGCGAAGGCGGGUCUCUGGACAGUUCCUGACACUGAGGCACGAAGGCCAGGGGAGCAAACGGG
rnacentral:rRNA from 1 species